GCCAUGCAAGUCUCAGUACAUGCCUAACUAAGGUGAAACCGCAAAAGGCUCAUUAAAUCAGUUAUGGUUCCUUGGAUCUUAAACAGUUACUUGGAUAACUGUGGUAAUUCUAGAGCUAAUACAUGCAAACAAGUCCCGACCAGAGAUGGGAGGGACGCUUUUAUUAGAUCAAAACCGAUCGGCGUCCGGCUCCGGCCGGUGCCGUCUCUUUUGGUGACUCUGGAUAACUUUUAGCCGAUCGCACGGUCACAGUACCGGCGACGCAUCUUUCAAAUGUCUGACUUAUCAACUGUCGAUGGUAGGCUCUGCGCCUACCAUGGUUGUAACGGGUAACGGGGAAUCAGGGUUCGAUUCCGGAGAGGGAGCCUGAGAAACGGCUACCACAUCCAAGGAAGGCAGCAGGCGCGCAAAUUACCCACUCCCGGCACGGGGAGGUAGUGACGAAAAAUAACGAUACGGGACUCAUCCCAGGCCCCGUAAUCGGAAUGAGUACACUUUAAAUACUUUAACGAGUACCAAUUGGAGGGCAAGUCUGGUGCCAGCAGCCGCGGUAAUUCCAGCUCCAAUAGCGUAUAUUAAAGUUGUUGCGGUUAAAAAGCUCGUAGUUGGAUCUGUGUGCCACGCUGUCGGUUCACCGCCUGUCGGUGUCAACUGGCAUGUCUGUGGGACGUCCUGCCGGUGGCGGUACGGGCUGUCUGCGCUGCGUACGGGCUCGCCUCCGAAACACGCCGGCGUGUUCCGGUCCUCCGAUUCAAUCCCGCCGCGGUGCUCUUCACUGAGUGUCGAGGUGGGCCGGCACGUUUACUUUGAACAAAUUAGAGUGCUCAAAUCAGGUCGUAUUUAGGCCUGAAUACUG
rnacentral:rRNA from 1 species